GAUUAUGGCUCAGGAUGAACGCUAGCUACAGGCUUAACACAUGCAAGUCGAGGGGCAGCAUGGUCUUAGCUUGCUAAGAUUGAUGGCGACCGGCGCACGGGUGAGUAACGCGUAUCCAACCUUCCCUAUAGUAGGGGAUAGCCCGUAGAAAUGCGGAUUAAUACCCUAUGUUGUAUUUUGAGGACAUCUGACGAAUACCAAAGGUUCACCGCUAUAGGAUGGGGAUGCGUCUGAUUAGGUAGUCGGCGGGGUAACGGCCCACCGAGCCAACGAUCAGUAGGGGUUCUGAGAGGAAGGUCCCCCACAUUGGAACUGAGACACGGUCCAAACUCCUACGGGAGGCAGCAGUGAGGAAUAUUGGUCAAUGGGCGAGAGCCUGAACCAGCCAAGUAAGCGUGCAGGAUGACGGCCCUAUGGGUUGUAAACUGCUUUUAUGCGGGGAUAAAGUGGGGGACGUGUCCCUUAUUGUAGGUACCGCAUGAAUAAGGACCGGCUAAUUCCGUGCCAGCCGCCGC
rnacentral:rRNA from 1 species